ensembl:lncRNA
ACUGAGAUUCGAAAUGAGUGCUUUAAACCAAAUGUGGGCAAUUGCCAGCAAAUAACCUGUAGAGACUUAAGGUUUAUGGAAAAAGUUUAAUUCUGAAUAUUGGACUAGAAAAGAAGCAAUGUUUACUCUGGGUGAAAUAUUGUAUAGCACUAUAGAAAUAUAUUGUAAAUGUAUAAUGUUCCUAUCAUUUCUGGUAUGACCAGCCCCCAUGUCUAUGUGUACCGAGAGGAAGUAGAAUGGAGUUCUCCAAAUUGGCUAAUGCAGAAGAAAGACUUUGAAAGUCGUGGAUAAGCUGUUGUAUCUGUUACACUAAGCUGUGCUGUGUUUCCUUUCUUACAUGGAAAGCCUAGGCACCUUAUCAUACUAAAUAUGAUGGACAAGCUUAUAUGUCCCAGCUACUUUAAAGAUGGACAGAAGUGUGUUUAAUUAUUGGAAUUUGGUUAGUUAGUGAUUACCAAAUUUUUCUUCACCAUGGUACUUUUUAUUUUUUUAUUUUAGUUGAUUGGUUUGUUUUUUUGCGUCCAUUGCCAAUGUAAUCGUCCUUAGAUAUUUGUAAGGUUCGCUGCAGGGGACGGUUUGAAUGGUCCCUUGUAUGAAACUGUAGAUGCUUCACGUAUUAUGUUAUGUACUCAAUAGGACACCACACUUAUAAUUCAUCAAGUGACACAUCAUCUGUUCAUAGGUCUCCUGUCCUAUAUUUGUAUUACAAUGAAGGUUCCUGUUCCAAUGUGAUAUAUCGCUAAUUGUAGCUAUACCCACAUACAGCAUCCACUGUCCAUUCCAGCCAGUCCAUUCCAGUGUCAUUGUUCUGUGCUCAAAGCACCCCUUUGGAUAGGUAAUGCGGUCUAAAUGCUUGAUGUCUGCUGGAAGUUCUGAAUUGGUCAUAAUAUUUUAGAAAGAGACAGGAGGGCUGACCUUGACAUGCCACGCACUUUCACGAGUCAUUGUAGAUUACUACAACCCUUCGGUAUUCAUAGCCAGUCCUUCUUCUGACAGUAAAGUAAACAGUAGGACUUGAUAGAGAAGUGGUCAUAGGAUUAGAUCUAGUUUGGUUUCAUUUUAGGAGAACCCCUUAUGUAUGUAGUACCACAAGCUUGAAGUACCUCAGAGUGGUGUUGUGUUGAGACUGUAGGGGGUGUCUGUCAGUUUGGUACUUAAGUCUUACCUAAUGUUGCCUUAAGUGUCCGUAAGGAGUGGCUAUGCCCUUAUAGUGAAUGUUUUGGUUAAAAAAAAAAAGCUAAAGGUGAUGGAUGUUUGAUAAUCGACUUAGAGGGAGCGGUGACGGUGUGUCUAAUAAGCUCAGCACUUUGGUUUAGACUAUCACAAUGGUUGUAAUGGGUAAAAGAGGUAGAUUAUUUUGACAUGUGGAGGAGUCUGUUGCAAUAAAUGUUUAGUGCCAGGAGUGAGGCCUGGAGAGCAUACUGGGAGUGUGUGGACCCUUCCCACAACUUGUUGUAAAAUUUUCUUUGUUGUUUUGUCAUUCCGUAUAUUUCUUAAAGCACCUUAUUUUAUAUUGGUUGUCAUUUGAGUGUUUUUUUAUUUUAUCCCUAUUUUUUUUUUUUUUCACAGACUUGUUGGGAGCUCCCAAAACGAUUUAAGUAGAUCAGUCAAAGAAUAGUUAGUACAUGCUGGGGAGACUGGGAGUAUGCACUGUUGAACAAGAAUCCAAAUAGUUUUUGAAGUUCCUCAGUUUCAUAGGAGUUAGGGAGAGCAAGAGGCACUUGAUUUUGGUCUUACUAACUAAACUAAAAAUGAAGCUUUUCAUUUUCAGAAGCACUUUAUAGAGUUUGGGAUUUUUGCAUCUUUGGAGGGUUUGCAUUAGAGAUGAUAGAAUAUAGAAUAGUAAUACAUCUGUUCUUCCUGAACUCCAAACAUGAAAAGGUAUUGCACCUUAUUAAGCUCCACAUAAAAUAUGUUUGCAGUUUCAGUGCUAAUGGUUGCUACUCUCUAAGCAUCGUCAGUUGAGUAUUUUUCUUUUCUUUAUGUCUCAGAGCACAUGACCAAAUCAUAGUUUGAGUUUCAAUGAGAAUAUGGUUCGAAAUGACUGUUGAUGUCGUAGCUUCUUAACGGAGGGUAUAAGACCGAAUAUGUACUUAGGUUUUGAUUGUGCUUGGGCAUAAACAUGUUUGUUUUGCCCAAGACAUAUAUUGAUUGUGCUUAAGGGUUAAAUGGUGUUAGUGUAUAUUAGCGCACUGUAUCUUUUUUCUCACAAAGUGAGUGUGGACUUAUAGUUCCUGAUUUGCUGCUAGUGGGUCAAGGGUCGUGGUGUUGUGGCCUUGGAUUCAGAGGUUCAUUCUUUUGAAUAUGAACCUUGGUGAAUUUGAAAGAUGUAAUGUACAGAAGGUCAUUCAUGCGUAUGUUGAGAUAAUAUUUUAAUAAUGGAACUGAAAUUGGUUUCUUCUGUUUAAGUUGGUUUUCUCAAGACAGGUGGAUUUGCACACUAAACCUUGGGUCACAAUGUGUAGUCAUUCGUACCUUUUUGGAAGAAGCCUGCUUAUUGCAUAGUAUCUAUGGCAACUGAUUUGAAAUCGGAAUCAGUGAUAUAAUCCAUUUUGUUUUAGCGCUUCAAAAAUCAAAAGGUUCCAAACAUCAUAUACCCUAUGUACCUGUCCUUCUAACGUAGUAAGCCAAUCAUGUGUGUAGCUGUCCUUAUGUUUAACUCUGUACUUUAAUAUAUAAACCCAAUGUAGUUAACUUAGUUAACUCCAGUGUACAAACAACACGUGUAGACAGUAGCUGUGUUGGUUAUAUGAAAGAGAAUACUAAAACAAUACCAAGACAAUAGUUUCUAGAGGUGCCAUUAACAUAAUAGACUGUAUUUUCUGUCAUUUAUCGUAUUGGUUAGUGUUUACUGUCUGUAACACGCGCAAGCUAAAUAAACAGAUAAUUUCAAUAGCGGAC